GAUGAACGCUGGCGGCGUGCCUAAUACAUGCAAGUCGAGCGGACAGACGAGGUGCUUGCUCCUCUGACGUUAGCGGCGGACGGGUGAGUAACACGUGGAUAACCUACCUAUAAGACUGGGAUAACUUCGGGAAACCGGAGCUAAUACCGGAUAAUAUAUUGAACCGCAUGGUUCAAUAGUGAAAGACGGUUUUGCUGUCACUUAUAGAUGGAUCCGCGCCGCAUUAGCUAGUUGGUAAGGUAACGGCUUACCAAGGCAACGAUGCGUAGCCGACCUGAGAGGGUGAUCGGCCACACUGGAACUGAGACACGGUCCAGACUCCUACGGGAGGCAGCAGUAGGGAAUCUUCCGCAAUGGGCGAAAGCCUGACGGAGCAACGCCGCGUGAGUGAUGAAGGUCUUCGGAUCGUAAAACUCUGUUAUUAGGGAAGAACAAAUGUGUAAGUAACUAUGCACGUCUUGACGGUACCUAAUCAGAAAGCCACGGCUAACUACGU
rnacentral:rRNA from 1 species